GUUACUGGGAGUAUUAUUGCUGUGGAGCUCUGUUAAUGGGGGUAUUAUUGCUGUGGAGCUCUGUUACUGGGGGUAUUAUUGCUGUGGAGCUCUGUUACUGGGGGUAUUAUUGCUUUGGAGCUCUGUUACUGGGGGUAUUAUUGCUGUGGAGCUCUGUUACUGGGGGUAUUAUUGCUGUGGAGCUCUGUUACUGGGAGUAUUAUUGCUGUGGAGCUCUGUUACUGGGGGUAUUA